rnacentral:rRNA from 1 species
UGCACCGAAGCUGCGGCAGCGACGCUUAUGCGUUGUUGGGUAGGGGAGCGUUCUGUAAGCCUGCGAAGGUGGCCUGUGAGGGUUGCUGGAGGUAUCAGAAGUGCGAAUGCUGACAUAAGUAACGAUAAAGCGGGUGAAAAGCCCGCUCGCCGGAAGACCAAGGGUUCCUGUCCAACGUUAAUCGGGGCAGGGUGAGUCGACCCCUAAGGCGAGGCCGAAAGGCGUAGUCGAUGGGAAACGGGUUAAUAUUCCCGUACUUGGUGUUACUGCGAAGGGGGGACGGAGAAGGCUAUGUUGGCCGGGCGACGGUUGUCCCGGUUUAAGCGUGUAGGUGUGUGUUCCAGGUAAAUCCGGUUCACUUUAACACUGAGGCGUGACGACGAGGCACUACGGUGCUGAAGCAACAAAUGCCCUGCUUCCAGGAAAAGCCUCUAAGCAUCAGGUAACAUCAAAUCGUACCCCAAACCGACACAGGUGGUCAGGUAGAGAAUACCAAGGCGCUUGAGAGAACUCGGGUGAAGGAACUAGGCAAAAUGGUGCCGUAACUUCGGGAGAAGGCACGCUGACACGUAGGUGAAGUGAUUUACUCAUGGAGCUGAAGUCAGUCGAAGAUACCAGCUGGCUGCAACUGUUUAUUAAAAACACAGCACUGUGCAAACACGAAAGUGGACGUAUACGGUGUGACGCCUGCCCGGUGCCGGAAGGUUAAUUGAUGGGGUCAGCGCAAGCGAAGCUCCUGAUCGAAGCCCCGGUAAACGGCGGCCGUAACUAUAACGGUCCUAAGGUAGCGAAAUUCCUUGUCGGGUAAGUUCCGACCUGCACGAAUGGCGUAAUGAUGGCCAGGCUGUCUCCACCCGAGACUCAGUGAAAUUGAACUCGCUGUGAAGAUGCAGUGUACCCGCGGCAAGACGGAAAGACCCCGUGAACCUUUACUAUAGCUUGACACUGAACAUUGAGCCUUGAUGUGUAGGAUAGGUGGGAGGCUUUGAAGUGUGGACGCCAGUCUGCAUGGAGCCGACCUUGAAAUACCACCCUUUAAUGUUUGAUGUUCUAACGUGGACCCGUUACCCGGGUUGCGGACAGUGUCUGGUGGGUAGUUUGACUGGGGCGGUCUCCUCCUAAAGAGUAACGGAGGAGCACGAAGGUUGGCUAAUCCUGGUCGGACAUCAGGAGGUUAGUGCAAUGGCAUAAGCCAGCUUGACUGCGAGCGUGACGGCGCGAGCAGGUGCGAAAGCAGGUCAUAGUGAUCCGGUGGUUCUGAAUGGAAGGGCCAUCGCUCAACGGAUAAAAGGUACUCCGGGGAUAACAGGCUGAUACCGCCCAAGAGUUCAUAUCGACGGCGGUGUUUGGCACCUCGAUGUCGGCUCAUCACAUCCUGGGGCUGAAGUAGGUCCCAAGGGUAUGGCUGUUCGCCAUUUAAAGUGGUACGCGAGCUGGGUUUAGAACGUCGUGAGACAGUUCGGUCCCUAUCUGCCGUGGGCGCUGGAGAACUGAGGGGGGCUGCUCCUAGUACGAGAGGACCGGAGUGGACGCAUCACUGGUGUUCGGGUUGUCAUGCCAAUGGCACUGCCCGGUAGCUAAAUGCGGAAGAGAUAAGUGCUGAAAGCAUCUAAGCACGAAACUUGCCCCGAG